rnacentral:rRNA from 1 species
CCUACGGGGGGCUGCAGUGAGGAAUAUUGGUCAAUGGACGAGAGUCUGAACCAGCCAAGUAGCGUGAAGGAUGACUGCCCUAUGGGUUGUAAACUUCUUUUAUAAAGGAAUAAAACGAGGCACGUGUGCCUUUUUGUAUGUACUUUAUGAAUAAGGAUCGGCUAACUCCGUGCCAGCAGCCGCGGUAAUACGGAGGAUCCGAGCGUUAUCCGGAUUUAUUGGGUUUAAAGGGAGCGUAGAUGGGUUGUUAAGUCAGUUGUGAAAGUUUGCGGCUCAACCGUAAAAUUGCAAUUGAUACUGGCAGUCUUGAGUACAGUUGAGGUAGGCGGAAUUCGUGGUGUAGCAGUGAAAUGCUUAGAUAUAACGAAGAACCCCGAUUGCGAAGGCAGCUUACUAAACUGUGACUGACAUUGAUGCUCGAAAGUGUGGGUAUCAAACAGGAUUAGAUACCCCAGUAGUC